GACCUGUCCUGCCCAAGGGGACCAGGAAUGGGCUUUCAGCAGGUCCCCUCUCAGGAGGAAGCAGGAGCUCUCAGGAAUCGUUGCAGGGUCACUGUCAGCACCCCUCUGCCACUGUGCAAGGAUCACUGAACAGGACAUGGGCAACUCUCUGGUGACCCAGUGAGACCAGUGCCCUCCAGUUUGAACCAGCACACACAGGGCAAGGACUACUGGGACCUGCAAGUCCUGCCACGAGGUCUGUGUAGGGUGGUCUUGGCAGAGCAGCACCAGGCUGGAAGGGCACAGAGCAGCAAAUGGGGCUGCAGGGCCACCACAACCUCAGUUUCCCCAUCCACCAAAAGGUGCUGGGACUGAGAUGACAGCACAUGGAGAGGGGAAAACCCUCCCUCAGAGGCUGCUGUGGAUUUGGGGUGCAUUCACCACAUGUGUGCAUGUUCCCUGCUGGGCAGAGGGUCCCUGCAGCAGCAGGACUGGGAUGGUCAGGACUAUCCCAAACUCUUACCGAGGCCAGAGCCUUCCCGAGCGCGUCUCCGGAGCUCCCGGCUGUGGUUCCUCUGUUACCUGCCAAGAGACACAGAUGCCACUGCCAGGACCCCAGAGCCCAGCAGGACACAGUACCCUACAGGGCCUUCUCUGGGGCACCUGCUCUGGGGUGGAAAUUUUCUGCUUUUAGUGCUUUGCUUGAAAAUUAAAUGUUUGUCCAGCUCGGACAUGGGGCACCUUCCCCUGGAAGCCAUCAAGGGGCUGCAGGGACAUCUCUGCAAGCCCUGGGCUGGAGGUGUAGUGCCACCAACAGCAAUCAGACAUCUCUGCUGCAGCACAGCCACUGCCAUGGGGCAUCUCAAACCCCAAUAGCCACCAAGGCACUGGAUGAACCUAGAGGUCUCUUCCAACUUUAAUGAUACUUUCAUUCCAUGAAUCCCAAACUUCCUUCUCUAUAGAAAAACAAGGUAUUUUCUACAAA